CGAACGGGUGAGUAACACGUAGGGAACCUGCCCGCGCACCGGGAAUACGCUCUGGAAACGGAGAACAAAUCCCGAUGUACAGGAAGGAGGCAUCUUCUUUCUGUGAAACAUCCUUUAGGGGAUGGGCGCGGAUGGACCUGCGGUGCAUUAGUUGGUUGGCGGGGUAAAGGCCCACCAAGACGAUGAUGCAUAGCCGGCCUGAGAGGGCGGACGGCCACAUUGGGACUGAGACACGGCCCAGACUCCUACGGGAGGCAGCAG
rnacentral:rRNA from 1 species